rnacentral:misc_RNA from 1 species
GGCACGCCCGAAGUCGUUACUCUAACCCGAAAGGGAGGAGGGUGCCGAAGGCGGGGUUGAUGACUGGGGUGAAGUCGUAACAAGGUAGCCGUACCGGAAGGUGUGGCUGGAUCACCUCCUUUUAGGGAGACCUACUUUUGAUGAGAGUGCCAAAUCCAAAACAACAGCACCCUCAAAAGUCAUCCCAGGUCGUGCUAGGAAAGAAAGAAACUUUCAAACGUAUCUAAAGUUCGGGAAA